CCUCAGUGCCAUACUGGAUCGCCUACGAGGUUUGGCAGGAAGGAGAGAAAAACACCGGAAAUCAGAGUCUCUGCAGAGAAAGCAUUGGUCCUCUGAAGAGCCACACUGGCUUUCAUGCACUCAUAGCCCAACUAUGUCCCAGCACCUGGAUACCUGCCCUCCCCCCCUUUUCUCUCUCUCCUCUCUAAAAUUUUUUAAAUGAUAAAAUAGAAUGCAUUCUUCGUGGAAAACAGCUAUCCACUGGAAACAUUUUUUAAGAAUGAGAUAAAACUCAAGUUGGAAAGUUUCUUUAGGCUUGCAUUCACUAAAAUCAAUCAUCGACUUGGCCUCAGUCCUGGGACUAUCUCCAGAAUCAUCUCAGAAAGUUAGCAGAAUACAGGAAAACGUCUGUUCUGAGCAACAUUAUUGGCACAGAUGAAGUGUGAGUUAGUUAUAGAGGUAGUUUAUCAAUAGUACAAAACUAGGUCUCUUCGGCACAAAGAGAUUCUGUUUAAGAAGUGGUUUAAGAAAAAGGGGCAGAAUUAGGGAUGGGGCUCCUAAGGAGACUGGGGAAGGAAGAUGAAAAACAACAAAAACCCCAGAAGUUCUUUUCUAUGUUCAGUGUGACUGAAGUAUAUGACUCCAUUCUGUGUUCAAGAGGAAACAAUUCAAAGAGAAUCUGUGUUCCUAAGCUAAAGAAUACAGAAGUAAACCUGAACAUCAAGAAGUUUCCUCUGGAGAUUUCAAACUUGGAAUUGGAUCGCCUAGGCUCCACAGCUCUCCGGAUGCCCAUGGAAAUGACUCUGCACUGCCUAGCAGAGGAAUAGAAUCUGUGAUGGGAACAACAAAAACCUCUGCCACCCCCCAUGGGGUAGGGGGACCUACCACACAUUAGCAGAGAACAAACUGACAAAGCAAGGAAUUGCUUUCGUUUGCCAGCUCGGUAAUUAUGAAUUGGGAUGAGUUUAUCAUUCUGAAAACUAAGAAUAUUUCUGAGUAAGCAGGGCGCAUUCAUGUCAAUCUAUCAAUCUGAAAUCAAAGCUUGCUUAUUUUUAUAAGCCACUUGAACAAUCAUAUUCAAUCUUUGGAACUCAAGUCAUGCUGAUGGAAGUCAUUCCACUGAAAAGCUCUUUGAAUACACAAAAGUGUGACAGUGAGAGUGAAAUGAACUAAAAGUACCUUAUGUCACACAUUGUAUUCCAUUGUAAAAAUAUUAAACACUAUGCUAAAAAACAAAAUGAUUGAAAUCCUUGCAACAUCGAUUACAUAAUCAACCUGAAAUAUACAACAAAAGGAAAAACAUCAGCCUAAAAACUGUUCUCCAAAUCUGUUUUUACUUCCCAAUCAAAAUUAAAAUGUAGGAGUGAGUGUUUGAUGCAGCAGUUAAGAUACCCUUUGGCCAGCAUUCCUAUCUACAAUGUUUGGGCUUAAGUCCUGGUUCCUCUUAGGAUUCCAGCUUCCUGCUAAUGCAUACCCUGGGAGGCAACAACAUGGUCCAAGUACUUGGGUCCCUGUCACCCACAUGAAAGAUUCAGAUGGAGUUCCAGGCAUUUGGAGAGUGAACCAGUAGAUGGAAGAUAUCUCUCUGUCUCGAUCUCUCUUCCUCUGCCUCUCAAAUAAAUAAAAUAAAUAUUUAAAAAUUUUGAUGUGUCAGAAUUUAUUCAGGUGAAUCUGUAAGACACAUGGAUAUGCAUACUCAUGUAUAUACAUUCACAAAAGUAUGUACACAUUCUAGUACUGUCAAUAAAUAAUCUCAUGAAAAUACUUUCUCUGGGGCCAGCAUUGUGGUGCAGUGGAUUGAGCCACCUGUGGCUUUGACAGCUCAUGUGGGCACCAGGGCAGUUCCUGGCUGCUCCACUUCCAAUCCAACUCCCUGCUAGUGUACCUGAGAAGGCAAAGGAGGAUGGCCCAAGUACUUGGUCCCCUGCCAUCCAUGUGGAAGACCUGGAUGGAGUUCCCGGCUCCUACCUUCAGCCUGGCCCUGUCCCAGUUGUUGCAGCCAUUUGGGAAGAAUGAACCAGCAAAUGGAGGCUCUCUUUCUGUCUGUCUCUCUCUCUCCCCUGUGUAUCUGUGUCGCUCUGUGUGUGUGUGUGUGUGUGUGUGUGUCUACGGCUCUGCCUCCCAACUAAAUAAAUCAAUCAAUAUUAGGGGGAAAAAAACCUUUUCUUUUCACCAUUUCCAUACUGAUUUGUGUAACCAUGCCUUUCCCAUCUUCCUCCUCCUGUGGCUAGGAAACAGUUUGUUUAACCAUCCCGACUGACUGACAAGGGGAACCUCAGCAGAGAGGUUUAAAUGGGAAGAAACUGCAAGACCAUGAAGGCAUGCAUAGAGAUGCUCAGUGAGUACUGGCGACAAACCUCAUCUCAGGAGUGGGAAGCCCCAGGUCAAAAGCAUUAGGAUGGAAAAAAAAAAUGCAUUUGGUUUGCAAAAAACUUUUGAACUAUAUCCCUCAUUUAAAAGUAAAAGGAAGCAGUGAAAAAAGGCAACUACACAGCUACAAAUUUGCUUUGCCAAUUUUAUGUUUUCUUCUUGCUCCCACUUUAGAAUUCCUCCAUGGUUUAAACACCCUAGGCUGUCCAAAUUUAUUUUUGGAAACAGGAGGCACUGUGUGUCUGGCAGGAGGGCGCACAGGGAUUUGAGGUUUAACCGCACUUCAGCACCGAAAGCCAGGUCAAAAGGGCAGUUCAUUGCUGUCAUUUUAAGCCCAUGCCAAAAUUUCCAGGAGUUCUAAGGAUUGGCACUAUUAAAACCUGCUUAGGUUGUAUUCUUCUAGAAAAAAAAAUCUUUAAAAAACAAUGCCUAUCUGCCUAUUACUAUAAAGUGGUAACUUCCACAAUUGAAAAAUUACCCAAGGUAAUUAACUAACCAAUUAAUAUUCUUAAGCUAACUAUUUCUUUCUCAACACUCCUUAAAAAGCAACCAGAGCAUUCUGAACACUUCAAAUAGGAUGGAAAUCUCCAGAAUGUAUCUCAGCAAAUUUGGACUCUAUGCCUUCUUUACCCGUAUCCCGCUAGGAGGAAAGGAAAGACAUGGUACCAGGCUAGCUGCGGGAGAGACGUCCAUGUUGACAUGUGUGAAUAGGGCGGACAGCACACAGAGCUGCGGAACCCUUCCUACCUAAAAUGCCCUCGCUGCCUUUGCAAACAUCUGCCUUCAUGGGGUCCCCAAGUCACAGACCACGUUCCCAACCUGGAACCUCAGAACGUUCCUUUCCCUUCUAUCCCAACAUCCCACCUCAUGGGCCCCGGCCCGGCUCUCCUCAGAGUCCCCAGGCACGGGAGGUGCGGCGUGUUCCGCCGGCAUCCGCAGAAAAGCGGCUCAGGCUGCAAGAAAGAGGCUUCGAGAGAACCCAGCGCCCCGGAGCCAUUUCACCACACAAUGGGCACCACACUCGGCGACAGACACACAACGCGCGCGCGCCGCUCCUCUUCCGGCCACGGCGGCACCGCGCACCGCUUUCGUUCCCUCAGACGUUGGCCACCGGCCGCUCUCCUUUAAUGGCUCACUCUGAAGCCGCCAGAAAGCCUCGCUCUUUCCCCCUGCCCUGGCGGACGAAGAGCGCUGAGCAAAGACCAGGCCGGGCUGCAUAUUUCCGGCCCGAAGCUCACAAAGCCCGGUGCAGCCCCAGAGAGCCCCCACACUCCCCCAUCCUCUUAUCUUUAGCCUCGUUUUGGUCACCGCCUGCGAAUUCCGGCAUCUACAAAAAGCGUCUGCUAAAAAGGCAUCACCACAGCCGCAGGGCCUGGGAUGACAGCGCCGUCCCGUCCAAACUGCCACCCUGUCCUGCCAUCAAACCAAGUAGGGCAUCCUUCUCGGCACCGGCCUCCUGGCCUCCGGCCGCGCCCGCCCGGGGCUGGAUGGCUCGCCCUGCUGGACGCCAGGCAGCACACACAGCCUCGCGCCCCCGCCCCGCCAGCAGCUGCACCCCGGCCUCCCCGCCUCGCUGAUCCCGUGGCGUCCCCGCGGCACCAACCCCUGCAGCAUCCUCGCCGGCGGGUCGCACAGAGCACGCGUGGCGGCCCCCUCACCUGGCCGGCUCGCGGUCAAGUUCAAGGCCGAGCGCGAUCGGGGAAGGAGCCCUUCGCCCGCUUCCCGCAGCGCUGCCAGGGUGUGCCCCACCCUGGAAAAAAAAAACCGCUCUUGACCUGGAAAGGGAAGAAAACAGCUGCCGGAGACCGACCGUAGGGGCUCGGAGGCUGAAGAGGUGAAACCAGGGAGUCGUUCUCCUCUUACUCUUCAUCCCCUGGGCCGCCAAUAAGUAAUAUUAUGAACGGUGGGCAGAAAUAAAUGAAUGGCACCCUCCGGGCUCUUACCUCCCGAUGGCUAUGUCCCUUGGAAGUGUUUCAAUGAGCUAACGGAGGGCAGUGCAGGGGCUUUCGUGCUCGUUAAAUAAGAUUGCCGUCUCCUUUGUCUUGCGAUCUCCGGAGCAAGCAAUCGAAAGCACCACUCACUGCUUCGUCUGCUGGAAAUUCUCGAAAAUGUUUCACCAGCUGCGGGCCAGAGGGAGCGAAGGGAAGUGUUCCCGCUGACUGACGGCAGCUCCGGCCAAUCGCACUUGGCGAGGCGGCGCGUCGGCCCUCCACCUUAGCCAAUCACAACUACCGCUGGGAACGAGCCUCCCCGCCGCUGCGAUUUGACUGCGCCGACUGGCAGCCGCGCGCGGUAGAGCGACGUCUACGUCGGCCAGUAGCUGCUCGAGGAGGCGCCCCACCCUCCUGAGG